UACGUAGGGUGCGAGCGUUAAUCGGAAUUACUGGGCGUAAAGCGUGCGCAGGCGGCUUGCCCAAGUCAGAUGUGAAAGCCCCGGGCUCAACCCGGGAAUGGCGUUUGAAACUGGCAGGCUAGAGUUUGGCAGAGGGGGGUGGAAUUCCACGUGUAGCAGUGAAAUGCGUAGAGAUGCGGAGGAACACCGAUGGCGAAGGCAGCCCCCUGGGCUAACACUGACGCUCAGGCACGAAAGCGUGGGGAGCAAACAGG
rnacentral:rRNA from 1 species